CAGUUGCCCGGAUGUGACCAUCUAGGGCAGGCAGUCUGUUCAGCCCAGAGUUCCUGCCUUUACCCCAGACUGGACUGGGUGAGGUGUGACUCUGGGUGAGCUAAUAUUGAAAUGCUUGUUGUGAAACAGUGGAAUAAGCCACUUCGUUGCCUUAAGUCCCUUACUUCAUUCCAUUUUCCACAGGAAAGGGGAUCAGGAGUCUGUAGUACAUGAGCUGUGACGUGCUUCCAACCAUCUCUCUUUUUCCAGUGUCUAAAACAAGACCUCCACUCUUGAUGGAUGUGGCCAAGAACAUGGGGCUGCUUCUCUCCUCCAGUCAGGAGAUCCUGUCAUGAGCAGAAGGCAACCAGCAUUUGUCAGCCCACAAUGCAGCUUUGAAUUACAGGUGGCUACGUCUGGCAGGCGUUGCCGCUAUGCUUACCUCUCCCUUCUUCCUACAGACUACCCCAAGCAUGGUAAGACCACUGGGACCCUGGUCACUCUUGCUCCGUUUGUCAUUGGACAAAAGUUCCAUCUGGGAAGAUGAAAGCAGAGAAGGCCAGAAGCUGCUGCUGCUGCUGCCUCACAGUAUCCUGCCCACAAAGCGAAGGGGAGCAUCCCGACUACCCUCUGUAUCUAGGCCUGUGGCUCAGACAUGUUGCCUAAGCAGAGAACAAAGAAAGAGCUGCUCAGCUCCCAGUCUUUACAGGCUAGGGUCACAACCAAAGAAACUCAUUUUGAGAUAGUGUGUGGGAAGUGCAAGAUUAAGGGUGCUCUCAGCAGAGGGGCCAUGUUGGGGGGGUGGAGGGACAGAUUUUUAUAAAAGGAUUUCAAAAAGCUAGGGCUGGGCCCGAUGCCCAUGUCACAAUCCCAGCACUCCACGCAGAGGCAGCUGGAUCCCUGGAAGCUCAAGGUCAGCUGGACUUACUUAGGGAAUUCUAGGAAAGCUAGAACUUCAUAGUGAGGCCUUGUCUCAGACAACCCAAAAGAGUCUGAUAGCUCCACUGAUAAAAGUAAAUAAUCAAAUGUA